GAUGAACGCUAGCGGAAGGCAUAAUACAUGCAAGUCGAACGGAUGUAGCAAUACAUUAGUGGCGCACGGGUGCGUAACGCGUAUGCAACCUACCUUCAUCAGGGGGAUAACUACUCGAAAGGGUGGCUAACACCGCAUAAUACUACUGAAUGGCAUCAUUUGGUAUUUAAAUCUGAGGAGGAUGAAGAUGGGCAUGCGUCUGAUAGCUAGUUGGUGUGGUAACGGCGCACCAAGGCGACGAUCAGUAGGGGAACUGAGAGGUUGGUCCCCCACACUGGCACUGAGAUACGGGCCAGACUCCUACGGGAGGCAGCAGUAGGGAAUAUUGGUCAAUGGUGGGAACACUGAACCAGCCAUUCCGCGUGCAGGAAGAAGGGUCUCUGACUUGUAAACUGCUUUAGCAAGAGAAGAAAAAGCUCAUGCGUGAGAAAUUGACGGUACCUUGAGAAUAAGCACCGGCUAACUACGUGCCAGCCGCCGCUGUAACAC
rnacentral:rRNA from 1 species